GUGCAUUCAUUCAUGUGGGACUGUCGCCAUACUACUGUGUCUUCUUCUUCUUCAUCAUCAUCCUCUUAUUAUGUACCUUUUUUAUAUCUUCCGCUAUCACGUCUGCAGCCAGGGGCCUCUGGUAUCCAUCCUCCAGCUAUCACAUCACCUCAGCCUGGACUCUGUGGCUGCUGUCAGUGUCUCUCCACACUUCUGCAACAACAGCUUCAGCAGCCACAGGUGCUUUAGUAUCUUAAACCAGCAGUGGUGGAGGCUCAGGACAACAAGGGGGUGGAAGGCAACAGUAAGGCAGAGACCCGGUACGAUCCUGACCCGGUACGACGCCCGCCAUGUCUAGGCCUCUACUCUCAGACCCCCCGGAGAAGCUGCACAGCCAGACGGACUCUUUCCUCACCGCUGCCCGGCUUGUCCGCAGAGGAUGGACGGAGGAGGUGAAGAAGACAGGGUGGCAAUUCUCCCAUUUUGAGUGCUCAGCGAAUCAACCCUCUCCCUCCAGGUCAGAUGGAAAUCUGGGUCCAAAACGUGCAGAGAUUUCCACGAAGGACCGCUGGAGCAGGAGGGUUCCUGUCGAGAACAGCAGGGAGACAGCUGAGAACAGAGAGACCACCGCUGAAAAACAGGCAGAUGAAGCAAAGCAGACAAGUGAAGGCGCAUUCUCGGCUAACGCACAAGCAGAAAGACAGAUGGAUCUCUGCAGUCAAACAGGCAUUGUUCGUGUCUGUUUGUCCGGCUGUCGCACCACAUGCAGACAGUCCAGAAGGUUUAAGGCCCCGAUACUACCAGUCAUUGCUGAGAUUUAGGCUAGCUGUUAUCCAUUUGGUUAUAAGAGUAGGCCUACUGUAAUCUAUCUGCACUUAACGAAAUGAAUACAAUUUGGUGUUGUGACCAUGUGAUUAAAUGGAAGUGUCGUUAUGAUUUAAUGUGUUCAUGCUGAUUUUGUUAAUCAAAAAGCAAAUAUGUAGCCUACAGUA